rnacentral:rRNA from 1 species
GUCCACGCUGUAAACGAUGAGCACUCGAUGUGCGAGGUAUCCACUCCUUGCGUGUCACAGCUAACGCAAUAAGUGCUCCGCCUGGGGACUACGGUCGCAAGACUAAACUCAAAGGAAUUGACGGGGCCCGCACAAGCGGUGGAGGAUGUGGUUUAAUUCGACGCAACGCGAAGAACCUUACCUGGGCUUGACAUCCCCGCGACGGCCUCAGAGAUGAGGAUUUCCCUUCGGGGACGCGGAGACAGGUGCUGCAUGGCUGUCGU